AUACGACUGUCGGCAACGGAUAUCUAGGCUCUCGCAUCGAUGAAGAACGUAGCAAAAUGCGAUACUUGGUGUGAAUUGCAGAAUCCCGUGAAUCAUCGAGUUUUUGAACGCAAGUUGCGCCCGAAGCCGUU
rnacentral:rRNA from 1 species